GAUGAACGCUGGCGGCGUGCCUAAUACAUGCAAGUCGAGCGAACGGACGAGAAGCUUGCUUUUCUGAUGUUAGCGGCGGACGGGUGAGUAACACGUGGAUAACCUACCUAUAAGACUGGGAUAACUUCGGGAAACCGGAGCUAAUACCGGAUAAUAUUGAACCGCAUGGUUCAAAAGUGAAAGACGGUCUUGCUGUCACUUAUAGAUGGAUCCGCGCUGCAUUAGCUAGUUGGUAAGGUAACGGCUUACCAAGGCAACGAUGCAUAGCCGACCUGAGAGGGUGAUCGGCCACACUGGAACUGAGACACGGUCCAGACUCCUACGGGAGGCAGCAGUAGGGAAUCUUCCGCAAUGGGCGAAAGCCUGACGGAGCAACGCCGCGUGAGUGAUGAAGGUCUUCGGAUCGUAAAACUCUGUUAUUAGGGAAGAACAUAUGUGUAAGUAACUGUGCACAUCUUGACGGUACCUAAUCAGAAAGCCACGGCUAACUACGUG
rnacentral:rRNA from 1 species